rnacentral:lncRNA from 1 species
GGGGGGCUGGGGGGCAAUGGGGGCAGUGGGGACCUUUGGGAUAAUGGGGGCAAUGGGGGGAAUGGGGGCAUUGGGGGCAUUGGGGGGAAUGGGGGAAACAGGGGCAAUGGGGGCAUUGGGGCUUUUGGGGUAAUGGGGGCAAUGGGGGAUAAUGGGGCAAUAGGGGCAAUGGGGGCUUUGGGGGGAAUGGGGGCAAUGGGGGCAGUGGGGGCACCUGCAUUGGGCGCGUGUAGUUAUGGGGCAGCUAUGGGGCAGCUAUGGGGCAGCUAUGGGGGUAUCUAUGGGGGUAUCUGUGGGGCAGCUACGGAGAUAUCAAUGAGGAUAUAUGUGGGGCAGCUAUGGGGCGCUGUGGGGCAACUAUGGGGGUAUCUAUGGGGCACCAAUGGGGCAUCUAUGGGGAAGCUAUGGGGUAUUUAUGGGGCAGCUAUGGGGCAGCUACACAGUAUCUAUGGGGGUAUCUAUGGGGCAGCUAUGGGGCAGCUAUGGAGGUAUCAAUGAGGCUAUCUGUGGGGCAGCUAUGGGGCGCUGUGGGGCAACUAUGGGAUAUCUAUGGGGCAGCUAUGGGGUAUCUAUGGGGCAGCUAUGGGGCAGCUACACGGUAUCUAUGGGGGUAUCUGUGGGGCAGCCAUGGGGGUAUCUAUGGGGCACCAAUGGGGCAUCUAUGAGGCAGCUAUGGGGUAUCUAUGGGGCAGCUAUGGGGUAGCUACACGGUAUCUGUGGGGCAGCUAUGGGGCAGCUA